ensembl:lncRNA
CAGAUGGACAUCUGUGGAUUAGGUGAAGGAGGGGUUGAGGUCAGGAGGUGAGGACAGAGAUGUGUUGAUACAUGGGGAGACAGAUGGACAUCUGUGGAUUAGGUGAAGGAGGGGUUGAGGUCAGGAGGUGAGGACAGAGAUGUGUUGAUACAUGGGGAGACAGAUGGACAUCUGUGGAUUAGGUGAAGGAGGGGUUGAGGUCAGGAGGUGAGGACAGAGAUGUGUUGAUACAGGGGAGACAGAUGGACAUCUGUGGAUUAGGUGAAGGAGGGGUUGAGGUCAGGAGGUGAGGACAGAGAUGUGUUGAUACAGGGGAGACAGAUGGACAUCUGUGGAUUAGGUGAAGGAGGGGUUGAGGUCAGGAGGUGAGGACAGAGAUGUGUUGAUACAUGGGGAGACAGAUGGACAUCUGUGGAUUAGGUGAAGGAGGGGUUGAGGUCAGGACAGCGAUGUGUUGAUACAGGGAGACAGAUGGUCAUCUGUGGAAUAGGUGAAGGAGGGGUUGAGGUCAGGAGGUGAGGACAGAGAUGUGUUGAUACAGGGGAGACAGAUGGACAUCUGUGGAUUAGGUGAAGGAGGGGUUGAGGUCAGGAGGUGAGGACAGAGAUGUGUUGAUACAUGGGGAGACAGAUGGACAUCUGUGGACUAGGUGAAGGAGGGGUUGAGGUCAGAGAUGUGUUGAUACAGGGAGACAUCUGGGUAUUAGAUGAGAGGUUGAGGUCAGGACAGAUUCUCUGAAGAGAGUAAUUUAAUGUUUGGUAUCCUGUUACCCUCUUUAUUAGCUUCCUGUGGAGCCAUGAAAUGUAGGGAUUGGAGAGAAAGGGGAGUGUCUUAAGUAGGAUGUAUAUAAACUGUGAAGUCUGAAAUCUUUAGCUGUCUGAUUUUCUGCUGUACAGAACCUUUGGGAAAUGAUUAAACUUGGUUAAAGCUUCUCUAGAGUCUGAGUUAUUUACUCUGAAAAAUAAGAACCUAACAGUGGUAUGAUAUAAGUCUAUAAUGUAAAGUCCCACUAAUGGUCUCUCAACAACAUAGUCAUGUCCUGUCCCACUAAUGGUCUCUCAACAACAUAGGUCAGUCAUGUCCUGUCCCACUAAUGGUCUCAACAACAGGUCAGACAUGUCCUGUCCCACUAAUGGUCUC